rnacentral:rRNA from 1 species
UACGUAGGGUGCGAGCGUUGUCCGGAAUUAUUGGGCGUAAAGGGCUUGUAGGUGGCGUGUCGCGUCUGUCGUGAAAGGCUCCGGCUUAACUGGAGUAGUGCGGUGGGUACGGGCAUGCUUGAGUGUGGUAGGGGAGAUUGGAAUUCCUGGUGUAGCGGUGGAAUGCGCAGAUAUCAGGAGGAACACCGGUGGCGAAGGCGGAUCUCUGGGCCAUUACUGACGCUGAGGAGCGAAAGCGUGGGGAGCGAACAGGAUUAGAUACCCU